UUUGGGCUCCACUGUAUGUAGGUCCCACAUUCAUAGGCUGGCAAAUCUUUAACUCUACUGGGUCCUCAUGCAUAAUGCACAGGGCAAUUUGUCUGUUUGUGCAAAUGGGCCAGUUUUUUUCCAUGCUUUUUCAGAUGUGUCAAAUGUGUCAAAACUGAACAUAAUCAUAUACCCCUAAUUCUGGCUUUACAAAGCAGACCCUACCUUCACCCAGCUUGAUGUUUUUAUUAAGGAGUUACUGAAUAUAUUUAAUCAAGGUAUUACUGCACAUCAUGAUGUCUUGUAAAGGUUGAAAUCCCUGAGAGAAUAUGUUUGGUUUUAAGCCCUAAUAUGUGUUAGGGAGUGUUUCAUUUUUCUCUCCCACUCCCAAUUCCUUUUUUUUUUUUUCUCCUUUUUUAAUCAGCAGCAUCGACAGUACUGACUGAAUAUUUUACAAUGGAGUUGCAGAGUAUGUGUGUUCAAUCGUUUCAGCUUCCCAGAAGAUUCAUUACAGUUACAUUAGAAAGUCAAAUCAGGCAAUUCUGCAGUCUGGUGAAAGCCAGCAUAUGAAAGAAGGUUAAUACAAAAGAAUUUCAUUUUAGAGGACAUUUAGGACUUUAAAAAGCAACAUUAUGAUAAAAUUUUCAAGAUAUUUGUUCUUGCCUUAGCACAUGCUUUCCAGGUCUAAUUUCAGAGCUGUCUCAAUGCUUUUCUAGGAAAGAAUGAGGGUGUAUGGGAGGAAAUUGUUUGAUCUACAAGGUCUGCCAUCUUAAUGAUCCUCAUGCUAAGAACACUGCAGAUGUAUGUUUUGCCCUCACUCAUGGGGAAAGAAUCUAUGGUUCUCCAAUUAUGCUGAUGAAGUAGAAGUCAAGUAAAAGUGAAGGUGCGUUCAUUUAAAACAUAAAGAUUUUCAGUGACUGUUAACAUCUGUCUUUCUGAUUAUAAAUAAAACUAACUGCUGAGAUUUUCAGAUCUUAAUAUGUAUUUAUAUAACAAAAACCAGUAAGUUAAUUGUUUUCCAUGAUUAGUAGCAGGUAUAGAAAGAUCUUCUUCAGAUUGGUACAUGUUUAACUGGCACUUGUGUAUAAUAUAGUAAUUCCCCUCUUUCUAGAAUUCAAGCCUCAAUAAACCCCUAACUAAUCUUAUGUAUUUAUUUCCACUGGUUUAUAGGUAAGCAAAAAUAAGAAUAGACUAUCUACUGAAAGGCAAGCCUUGUCAUUCAGUACAGUCGAUUUACAGAAUACAAAUUCCAAUUCAAUACAAAGGCUCACCUUUGCAUGAGCAAUUCCAAAGCUUAAAUACCAUGGCAAGAGGGAAACAGCAGCUAGCAGUGGUAACAGACAUAAAAGGCGGCUGACUGUCUUCAGUGCUACCUUUGGCAGCAGUACAGAUGGACUUUGUAGGCCACUGGCUAUGCUUAAUUUAAUAUGAAGCUAAAUACAGUCAAAACAUCUGGUGCACCACUGAUGGUUAUCAUGAUAAAUUAAAUCUGGCAUCACACACAAAUCCAUUCAAUAUUCUGUUUAUAUCCCUUUUACCUAAACCACAAAACUAAAAAUCCACAUUUACUUUUGUUUUUCAUUUCCUCUUAGCAGUCCUGUAUUUUAGAAAAGGAACGUUUUGUAGAUCUGUUGUUUAUACAAGUUGGGGGGCCUUCUUUAAGAAAAAGACCACGAAAAUUUGUAUACAAAAUGUCAAGAGGGCCACUCAAGUGAGGGUCUCUUUGGUUUAAGCUUCAUGGACAAUCCACCUCUGGGGAGGUUGAAAGGCAGUGUAAAAACUAAAUAGUAUGCCAAGUAGCACAUGGAACUGGGACAAAGAAUACAAAAAUUUUUAAAGCAGACAAUUUAACUGACAAGCUACAGAAGAGCAAACAAGACUUUCUAGGCAAGCAAAUCGGCAAAAACAAACUGUAUUGUCAGAAUCUGUUUUUAACAUAUAUUUCUAAAAUGCAAAACCCCAAAUUGGGCCAGGUGCAGUGGCUCACACCUAUAAAUCCAGCACUUUGGGAGGCCAAGGCAAGAGAAUCACUUGAGCCCAGGAGUUUGAGACCAGCCCGGGCAAUAUAGUGAGACUCCGUCUCCACAAAAAAUAAAAAUUAAAUUAAAUUGAAAUUUUAAAACCCCAAAUCUACAGCAUACUACCACAACAAAAGGGCUAUUAUAAAGGAAAAAAGUCAAUUAAAGAACCAAAUUAUCAGUCAAGUGUGGUGGCUAUAGCUGUAAUCCCAGCACUUUGAGAGGCCAAUGCAGAGGGAUUGUUUGAGCCUAGAAGUUCAAGACCAGCUUGGGCAACAUAGCGAGACCCCAUCUCCACUAAACAUUUUUAAAAAUUUAAAAAUAAAGUAAAAAAUAAUCAAAUUGUCAAUUUUAUAAUAACUAUAGGUCAAGAAACAAGUAUAAUUCUUACAAGCAACUAAUUCACAAAACAAUUAGAUCAUGGCUAACCAUUUGUUAUUUUUAAAAAGUCAGAGCACCACUUAUAACUAAAGUGACUACUGCCUGAACUGCAAUAUUCAAAUUAUUGCAUUUUUAUUACAUUGCUUUGAAGGAUAUUCAGUGAAGAUAAUUAUUAAUUCUAGUGCUAUAUAAUAUUAGCAUCACCCACACUCUUUUAAACAAAAAGGACCUAAAAGCCUCGACUCUGCAUCUGAAGGGAGGAGAGCAUGCCAUAUAAUAAAUUCAGUACAAUCAAAAUGAGAACCAUAUUUCUGUUUAACUUUAUGCAUCUUGGCUCAAGAGCCAUAAAAAAAAAGUUAUUAAAAUUAAUGCAUCAAACUAUAAUUCUGUCCUUUUUAUUACUGGUAAUAUUCUUUCUAAAAUAUUAGUCUGCUUUGCUGUACUACUAUAUCUUUUUGAAAGUUUUCUUUGAAGAUCAGGAUCACUUUAACUUUAGAAUGAAAACAUGCAAUUAUAUUAAUUUGGCACUGAAUCUUGUUAGUUUCAGUGGGUUUGAAACUUUGAAAAUGAUUUAUUCAUUAGAAAGCCACAUGUUGGCCAGACAUGGUGGCUCACACCUGUAAUCCCAGCACUUUGGGAGGCUGAGGUAGGUGGAUCACCUGACGUCAGGAGUUUGACACCAGCCUGACCAACAUGGUGAAACCCUGUCUCUACUAAAUACAAAAAAUUAGUCAGGCAUGGUAGUGCAUGCCUGUAAUCCCAGCUACUUGGGAGGUGAGGCAGGAGAAUCACUUGAACCCAGGAGGUGGAGGUGGCAUUGAGCCGAGAUUGUGCCAUUGCACUCCAACCUGGGCAACAAGAGCAAAACUCCAUCUCAAAAAAAAAAAAAAAAAAAAAGCAAACCAGUUACUGCUUCUGAUGGCACUCAUAAAGAUGGAAGAUAAUGAAGCUACUUGUCAUUCAACACAAAACACACAAAGAAAGUGUUAACAGCUGGCAAAUGUCACAAAGUAAACAUUUUCCUAUUUCUGUUAAAUAAAAUUCAUUCCUAAUAAUCACUGUCCUGUAUGAACUUUCCCUAGCAAAUUACUGCCCCAUUUCUUUCACUAAAUAAUCAAUUUUUUCUAAAGUUAACACAAAAGAAAUACCCUGGAAAUCCUCAUUCUCUAGUCAUGACUAAAUGAAUGAACCACAUGGGCUACCAAAAUCAAAUUCUCUACUGCAUCACUAAUGUAAUACUAAAUAGGAUGCUCCAUCAAAAGAGACCUAGAAUUUACAUAAUUUCCCAUAAACUUAUCAGAGGAACAAAUGUAAGACAAUGGGAAGAAAAUCAAGAUAAGCUCACUGUUGUUGCUGGUUUGUGUAUUCCUGUCUUUCUCAACUCCUCCCACAGCUGAUAGAACAUUGUAGUUAAGAGAGCUGGUAGAAACUACUUCACUAAAAUUAUGUAUUUGAACAUCAGCCUUUUUUCAUUCUAGUCAGCCUUUUUUCACUCUAAAGUAUUAAAUUCAACCAAAAAGCCAAACAUUCAAAGUCUGUUCACCAAAAACACUCAUCAUAAAGAUGUUUAUUUACUAUCCAUAUAAGGACGCAAAAUGGUAUUCCUAACAGCCAAUACACAGAAUCAACCUAAGUGUCCAUCAACAGAUGAAUGGAUAAAGUCACAUACAUAUGUAUACACACACACACACAUACAUACACACACACACACACACAUAUAUAUGCAAUAGGAUACUAUGUGUUCUAAGAAAAUUCUGUUACUUGCAACAAUAUGGAUGAACCUGGAGGAUACUAUGUUAAGUGAAAUAAGUCAGACAUAGAAAGACAGAUACUGUAUGAUCCCACGUAUAUGCAGAAUCCUAAAACGUCAAGUUCAAUUUUUUUUUUUUUAGAAAGAAUCUCGCUCUGUCACCCAGGCUGGAGUGCAGUGGCAUGAUCCCAGCUCACUGCAACCUCCACCUCCCAGGUUCAAGCAAUUCUCCUGCCUGAGUCUCUCGAGUAGCUGGGAUUACAGGCCUGCGCCACCAUGCCCGGCAAAUUUUAGUAUUUUUUAGUAGAGGUGUUUCACCAUGUUGGCCAGGCUGGUCUCGAUCUCCUGACCUCCUGAUCCACCCACCCAGCCACCCAAAGUGCUGGGAACACACGUGUGAGCCACCGUGCCUGGCCCUCAAUCUUUUUUUUUUUUUUUUUUUAAAGAAACGGGGUUUCACUCUGUUGCCCAAGCUGGAGUGCAGCGGCACAAUCAUAACUCACUGUAACCUCAAAUUCCUGGGUGCAAGCAAUCCUCCUGCCUCAGCCUCCUAAGUAGCUGGGACUACAGGUGUGCGCCACCACACCUAGCUAACUUUUUAUUUUUAUUUUUUGUAGUGACGAGGUCUCGCCAAGCUGGUCUCGAAUUCCUAGGAUCAAGGGGUCCUCCUGCCUCAUCAACCUUUUUUUUGAAGCUGAAGUAGAAGCAAAGAGUAGAAUGGUGGUUACCAAAGGCUGAGAGGAGGACUGGGGAAAUGUGAGUCAAAGGACAUAAAAUUUCAGUGAGGAGGAAUAAGUUCAAGAGAUCAGCUUUAUAAUAUAGUGACUAUAAUUAAUAAUAAUGUAUUAUAUUACUGAAAAUUGCAAAGAAGAAUUUAAGUGUCCUCACCACAAAAAAAAAAAAUGUGAAGUAAUACAUAUACUCAUUUUAGCCAUUCCACAAUGUAUAUAUAUUUCAAACCAUCAUGGUAUACACAAUAAAUGUGUACAAUUUUUGUCAAUUUAAAAAAUGGGAUUAUUCUCUCACCUCAACAUUGAGGUACUAACUAAAAAGAUAUUUCCCAACUACUCAGAUGCUGAAGCCGGAGGAUUGCUUAAGCCCAGGAGUUGGAGACCAGCCUGGGCAACACAGUGAGACUCCAUCUUGAAAAAAUAAAUAAAAAUAAAAAGAUACUGUGAUUGUCAAAGAAAGGAAAGAGGUAUUAAGUCACUGAAAGGUUAUAUUUUUCCUUUAGAAAAAUGAAAAAUUCCUACUUUACUGUCAACUAUUACCUCUUCUGACACAUUAACUGUAGAAUCCUUUUAUAUGAGAAAAUUACUAAAUCGGACACUACAUCUCAGAAUCUGCUAGAGGUCACUUGGAAAAGAGCAUCAUCCUUUCAAAAGGCAAGGAUGAAGAAUUAGAAAGAAAAAGGCCAGAAGCACACAAGUGAAACAAGCCAGUGCACCUGAGGCCUUUGUUGGUCCAAUCAAACUAUAGGUCACAGGUAUUUCAAAAAGGGGAAUAAAAGACAACUGCAGUUACUUUAGAAAAGGGUUAAAUUCUCCAAAGUAGACGCUUCCCAAAAGAAAAAACAGAACGAAAACUGCAAAAUUCUUUCUUCUCUCCUUUGGAGAAUACGGUUUAGCACAGUUUUUAAAAAAUCAAAAUCUCAAGAGAUAUGGGUGCCAUUCCCAUCCCAAUAACUAAGUGGCUCUGCUAACUGCAGGUUGUGUGAAACUGUACACCCACUACGCUCAAUUGCAAAACAGCCAUAAAGAACUUAGAACACUACACAAGUUCAACAGACAUGAAGAAAAACACUACAAAAUUCAAAUGUGAGGGACAAUUUUCCUGCCAAUAUACGUAUAACUCUAAAUUCUUACUCUCUCUAUACACACACACACACACACACACACACACACACACACACAAUAUGUCUUGAUGAUCAGAGCUAUUACACUGUAUAAAUCUAAUUAAGGUCAGUUUCCUAUAUGGGAAAAGGAAGAUUUAUCUGAGAAAUAAUUCAAAAUAAAUUCUCCCCAAGUAAAUAGACCUAGGCCUAUCAUUAGUUUAGUUUAGUUUUGUUUUGUUUUUUUGAGAUGGAGUUUCACUCUUGUUGCCCAGGCUGGAGUGCAGUGGCGUAAUCUCAGCUCACUGCAACCUCUGC
rnacentral:lncRNA from 10 species